rnacentral:rRNA from 1 species
GCCAAGCUUGCUUGGUGGAUCAGUGGCGAACGGGUGAGUAACACGUGAGCAACCUGCCCUGGACUCUGGGAUAAGCGCUGGAAACGGCGUCUAAUACUGGAUAUGAGCUCUCAUCGCAUGGUGGGGGUUGGAAAGAUUUUUCGGUUUGGGAUGGGCUCGCGGCCUAUCAGCUUGUUGGUGAGGUAAUGGCUCACCAAGGCGUCGACGGGUAGCCGGCCUGAGAGGGUGACCGGCCACACUGGGACUGAGACACGGCCCAGACUCCUACGGGAGGCAGCAGUGGGGAAUAUUGCACAAUGGGCGCAAGCCUGAUGCAGCAACGCCGCGUGAGGGAUGACGGCCUUCGGGUUGUAAACCUCUUUUGGUAGGGAAGAAGCCUUCGGGUGACGGUACCUGCAGAAAAAGCGCCGGCUAACUACGUGCCAGCAGCCGCGGUAAUACGUAGGGCGCAAGCGUUAUCCGGAAUUAUUGGGCGUAAAGAGCUCGUAGGCGGUCUGUCGCGUCUGCUGUGAAAUUCCGAGGCUCAACCUCGGGCUUGCAGUGGGUACGGGCAGACUAGAGUGCGGUAGGGGAGAUUGGAAUUCCUGGUGUAGCGGUGGAAUGCGCAGAUAUCAGGAGGAACACCGAUGGCGAAGGCAGAUCUCUGGGCCGUUACUGACGCUGAGGAGCGAAAGGGUGGGGAGCAAACAGGCUUAGAUACCCUGGUAGUCCACCCCGUAAACGUUGGGAACUAGUUGUGGGGUCCUUUCCACGGAUUCCGUGACGUAGCUACGCAUUAAGUUCCCCGCCU